rnacentral:rRNA from 1 species
UUUCUCCAAUAGCGUAUAUUAAAGUUGUUGUGGUUAAAAAGCUCGUAGUUGAACCUUGGGCCUGGCCGUCCGGUCCGCCUCACCGCGUGUACUGGCUCGGCCGGGCCUUUCCCUCUGUGGAACCCCAUGCCCUUCACUGGGCGUGGCGGGGAAACAGGACUUUUACUGUGAAAAAAUUAGAGUGCUCCAGGCAGGCCUAUGCUCGAAUACAUUAGCAUGGAAUAAUAGAAUAGGACGUGUGGUUCUAUUUUGUUGGUUUCUAGGACCGCCGUAAUGAUUAAUAGGGACAGUCGGGGGCAUCAGUAUUCAAUUGUCAGAGGUGAAAUUCUUGGAUUUAUUGAAGACUAACUACUGCGAAAGCAUUUGCCAAGGAUGUUUUCAUUAAUCAGGAACGAAAGUUAGGGGAUCGAAGACGAUCAGAUACCGUCGUAGUCUUAACCAUAAACUAUGCCGAUUUUCAGCUCCAAUAGCGUAUAUUAAAGUUGUUGUGGUUAAAAAGCUCGUAGUUGAACCUUGGGCCUGGCCGUCCGGUCCGCCUCACCGCGUGUACUGGCUCGGCCGGGCCUUUCCCUCUGUGGAACCCCAUGCCCUUCACUGGGCGUGGCGGGGAAACAGGACUUUUACUGUGAAAAAAUUAGAGUGCUCCAGGCAGGCCUAUGCUCGAAUACAUUAGCAUGGAAUAAUAGAAUAGGACGUGUGGUUCUAUUUUGUUGGUUUCUAGGACCGCCGUAAUGAUUAAUAGGGACAGUCGGGGGCAUCAGUAUUCAAUUGUCAGAGGUGAAAUUCUUGGAUUUAUUGAAGACUAACUACUGCGAAAGCAUUUGCCAAGGAUGUUUUCAUUAAUCAGGAACGAAAGUUAGGGGAUCGAAGACGAUCAGAUACCGUCGUAGUCUUAACCAUAAACUAUG